rnacentral:rRNA from 1 species
UUCCGGUUGAUCCUGCCGGACCUGACUGCUAUCGGAUUGAUACUAAGCCAUGCGAGUCAUUGUAGCAAUACAAGGCAGACGGCUCAGUAACGCGUAGUCAACCUAACCUAUGGACGGGAAUAACCUCGGGAAACUGAGAAUAAUGCCCGAUAGAACACUAUACCUGGAAUGGUUUGUGUUCCAAAUGAUUUAUCGCCGUAGGAUGGGACUGCGGCCUAUCAGUUUGUUGGUGAGGUAAUGGCCCACCAAGACUAUUACAGGUACGGGCUCUGAGAGGAGUAGCCCGGAGAUGGGUACUGAGACACGGACCCAGGCCCUAUGGGGCGCAGCAGGCGAGAAAACUUUGCAAUGUGCGAAAGCACGACAAGGUUAAUCCGAGUGGUUUCUGCUAAAGGAACCUUUUGUUAGUCCUAGAAACACUAACGAAUAAGGGGUGGGCAAGUUCUGGUGUCAGCCGCCGCGGUAAAACCAGCCACCUCAAGUGGUCAGGAUGAUUAUUGGGCCUAAAGCAUCCGUAGCCGGCUCUGUAAGUUUUCGGUUAAAUCUGUACGCUCAACGUACAGGCUGCCGGGAAUACUGCAGAGCUAGGGAGUGGGAGAGGUAGACGGUACUCGGUAGGAAGGGGUAAAAUCCUUUGAUCUAUUGAUGACCACCUGUGGCGAAGGCGGUCUACCAGAACACGUCCGACGGUGAGGGAUGAAAGCUGGGGGAGCAAACCGGACUAGAUACCCGGGUAGUCCCAGCUGUAAACUAUGCAAACUCAAUGAUGCAUUGGCUUGAUGCUAAUGCAGUGUUGCAGGGAAGCCGUUAAGUUUGCCGCCUGGGAAGUACGUACGCAAGUAUGAAACUUAAAGGAAUUGGCGGGGGAGCACCACAAGGGGUGAAGCCUGCGGUUCAAUUGGACUCAACGCCGGGA